rnacentral:lncRNA from 1 species
CGAUCUCGCCGGGAGGGCGAUCGGGAAGGACCUUGUGAGCAACCCGGACCUGGUGUCCACAGACGCGGUGGUGUCCUUCAGAACGGCCAUUUGGUUCUGGAUGACGGCGCAAGGCAACAAGCCGUCGAGCCACGACGUCGCCCUAGGCCGCUGGACGCCGACGGCUGCCGAUACAGCUGCAGGUCGGGUGCCUGGAUACGGCGUAAUCACCAAUAUCAUCAACGGCGGGCUCGAGUGCGGCAUGGGCCAGAACGACGCCAACGUCGACCGCAUCGGCUACUACACGCGCUACUGCGGCAUGCUUGGCACGGCCACCGGAGGCAACCUCGACUGCUACACCCAGCGAAACUUCGCUAGCUAGACACUAUGGAUAGUGUAUGCACGUGUUACGAAUAAAGGGCUACACUCAUGAAUAAGGGGCAACACAUAUCCCAUCAUGAAAUAAAUAAUUCGAUAUGUGAUCCAGUUGAUCGUGUCGUAUGAUAAUACGAGUAAGUUGUUGUAACAAAUUAUGUAAAUUGUUCAAUAAAAUCAUAUCAUUACAACUGGUUUUUUAAAUAUGGUACACUAAAAAUAAUCCACAUACACGAGUAUACACUCAUCUCUAUAAAGAUACGCAUGCAUAUCCUAUUCUAUCCAUAUGAGCACCUUCGAAAGACUGGCCCAACACAUCAUCUUGAUAUUGACAAAGUCAUCACAUAUACCUUCAUAGUCGACGGAAAUGUCUCUUCUCACUAAACGCACAUGGUUGAAAACCAGAAAUAAAUGAAGAAAAAUAGGAACACUAAUGUCAUGUAUGGACUUGAACUCUAGUGAAUAUACAUAUCACUCUCUUUCUAACCAUCAAAGCACAGAUUGGUAUCAUUGUUUUAUUUUGUUGUAUGUGAGAGGAUGUAUAGCAGACCAACUAACGUGACAAAUAUUUUACUUGUUUAAUCAGUUCUUCAUAACAAAAAGGAAAGAAAAGUCAGGAUUUAUGAAAUGAAUGAGGCUAACGCGUGUUUCGUUGCAUCGGUCUUCACUCGUUUUUUUAGAAAAGGAGGAUGAUCCCCGGCCUCUGCAUCUGGAAGAUGCAUGCGGUCAUUUUAUUGAUUAUUCUCGAGGACCUUACAAAGCAGUACAACAAUAUGCCUGAAUCCGCCAUCUUGGCAACAUCUGCCGCUACUCCUAUCCAUAUGAUGAAGGGGUGCAAGCUGGACCAAAUACCCAGACCUCUCACCUAAGCCUAACAUCUAAAGCCGGAUACCCUGACCGAGCCACAUACCGGGUCCGGGGCACAAACCGGUCCGACGCACUCACAUGUGUCGUCGCCGCCAUCUUCCAUUGCUCCAUCUUCAGAUCAGAUUGAGGUACCAGCCUUGGCAGGUGCCUCCUCCAUCGACGCCAUCAUGAUGCCAAACGACGACAUCCACCAACGCGAGUCCAUCUCCAAGCAACUGACGAAGAUCCAUGCUAGGAUAGGGCCGCAUCACCGCCGUCGCCCACCACCCACAAGCGCCACCCAGCCCCAAGGUUCCCAAAGCGACGCCUUCAAGAAGGGAACGGCGCCGUGAGCGCCGCCGCCGCCCAACAAAGUUAGGGCUUUCGCCGGGAGACCUAGGGGAAGGGGAAGUGAGGGGAUCAGUCCAUACCAACGCCUCCAAGGAGGGGAACGACGCCCUCGGGCGUCGCCGUCGACGCGGCCGGCCAUGGCCGACCAGGGAUUUCGCCCGACCUAGAUCCCCACCACCAGCAGCACCUCCUGUACAAAACCGGCAAUCCAAGGAAGCGCGGCCCGACCAGGCUGGCCCACACGCCGAACAGGGAAGGAGGGGAGGCGCUAGAUCGCGCGCACCGGCCACCGCAAAAGCCGCCACCAGACGUCAGCGACCACCGGAUCCCGCCGCCCGCGUGGCCGAGACGCCGGAUCCACCUCCCGCACGGCUGCUAGCCUACCGUGCCUCGCCAAUGAAGCCGCCGUUCCAGAUCCGGAACUCCACAUGCAGAGGCAGGGUAACCUAGGCCCCGCCGCCACCAUCCUUGGCGCCCCGGGCUUGCCCGGCGGCUGCCUCAGGCGGCGGCGAGGAAGGGAUGGGGAGGGGGAGGCGGCUAGGGUUGGGAUGGAGGGAGCGUGGGAUUAACUUUAUAUAUAUAUCAGUUUACUGCAGACAGUUGUUUGAUUUUGGCUUUAUCAGUUGUCUUGAGUUUUAGUUAUAUUUUGGUGGUGGUUUUUUCCUUUCAUAUAUUUUGUUGGCUUUUGUUGAAAAUGAUUUUUUUAGAUGAGAUUAGAGUUGUUCGAUGUGGGGUUUUGGGGUCUUCAAACCUUUCGGCCUUGGAGUCAGCCGAGGAUGGUUUCAUGAGCCCUUUGGGAGCUCUCAUUCCAUACUAAAAUUGUAGAAUCGCUCCUAAGAGCAUCUCUAAUAGGGCAGCCUCUUUUCAAUUAUAGGGCAGGCAAAAUCGAGAUAUAGGACAGCAAAACAACAGUCGUUUUACCAGCAGCCCAAGAUAGGGCAGCACCCGCCCCAGCAGCCACUACUAAGAAAAGGGCUAUAGAUGAUAUAGAUAUUAAUGCCGCACCACACAAGCCGUGCGCCACUACUAUAUAAUAAUGGCGUACCAUGUGAGGUGUGCCAUUAGUGUGGUGGAUAUUAAUGGCGCACCACACUCUCGGUGCGCCACUACUAUAUAUAUAUAUAUAUAUAUUUUUGCAAAACUACUAAUGGUGCACCAGCACCUGGUGCGCCAUUAGUAACCUGGUUACUAAUGGCACAUAUGUUAGUAGUGCGCCACUACUAUAAAAAAAAUUGGUUUUUUUUUGCAAACUACAAAUGGCGCACCAAAGCUAGUGCGUCAUUAGUAAGCAGUGUUACUAAUGGCGCAUCUAUUGGUGGUGCACCACUACUAUUUUUUUUACAGAACUACUAAUGGUGCACCAGAGGAGGUGCGUCAUUAGUAACCAGGGUUACUAAUGGCGCAUAUGUAGGUGGUGCGCCAUUAGUAACCUGGGACCAGCUAGAUAUUUUGGACAACCACCUACCACACUCACUUUCCCCACUUUCAUUCUCUCCACCUCCUCCUCCAAGCUUGUCUCAGGUGCCUCCUCCUCCUCACCUCAUUUGCAUCAUAGAUUCACCCAAAUUAAGUGGUUAAAUUACCUUUUUUUGAUAGGUAAGUAAGGGGAAAGCUUUUAUGUUGUAGAUCUACUUUUUUCUCCCUCCAACAACGUGCACAUGCACUUUUUAUGGCCUAGCUAGAUCUACGUAUGUUUGUUGUGUUGCAUAUGUUUGUGGUGUUGCAUAUUUGUUUGUGUUUGCAGGUACCGGUAUUUGAAAUGCGAUAGUUGCCAAUAUUUUCCCGGAAUGUUGAUUCAUUUCCGUUUCGGUGAGAAUUUGGCACUAUGCAUUCUUUUUUGUCCUAUUUUUAGGCAAAGUCAUGCCAAAAAAAAAUUUUGGUUAUAAAAUAUCAUUUUGCUUUACCCCGCACGCGACCAUGGUCCGCACGAUGACCGAAGGCAUCGUGAAUAGGUUUUUGAGCUCCGCGAAGGCCGAGAUGCUUCAAAAGAACGAGACGAAGAUAAGAUGUCCGUGUCGAAGAUGCAAGCUGAAGAGCCUUAUGGACCCGGAUUCCGUAAAGGUGCGGGACCACCUGCUCUUGCGUGGUUUCAUGGAUGGCUAUCGGUGGCAAGGUGAUGAAGAUGAUUAUGAAGUCGUCCAUGGGGGCCGGGAAAGAAAUGAGGAAGGGCAUGAGCAAGACAACCGCGGCGAGGGCGGGCGAGAAGACGAAGAAUCUCCAGGACACAGUCAUCAUGUAGAAGAUGCCGGACAUGAUGAUGAGGAAGAUGCCGGAGCAGACGAAGGGCAUGAUCAUGAAGAUGAAGAUGCCGGAGCAGACGACGAUGGACCAUCCAUGCCCUGGGUGCAGGACCCUCAUAUUCAAGAGCUGCUUCUCAAGCAGACGGAUAACGCAAGAGCUGCCGCCCGAGAGAAAGCCAAGCUGGAUCAACUUGAGAUAGACGCGGUUACUCCAUUGUAUGAAGGAUGCAGGCCCGAGGAUACCCGCCUGAAAGUAAUGCUCAUGGCUCUGGAGAUGAAGGUAAAACACAAAAUGACCGACGCAUGCUUCGACGAGAACAUGUCAUUCUGGCACGAACGUCUUCCCAAGGGGAACAACUGCCCGACCAGUUUCGAGGAGGCAAAGAAAAUCGUGUGUCCUCUGGAUUUACCGCACGUGAAAUACCAUGUGUGCAUGAACAAUUGCAUCAUUUAUCGGGACGAGCACGCGGAGUCUACCAUAUGUCCGGUGUGCAGCGUCAGUCGAUACAAGAAGAGGAAGAAAGCUCCUCAAAAAGUGGUGUGGUACUUUCAUAUCACUCCUCGUCUGCAACGGUAUUUCGCGGACCCUAAGGUAGCAAAGCUCCUGCGUUGGCACGCGGAUAGGGAGGAGAAAAAGCGAGAAGAUGACGGAAAUGAUCCGGAGAUAAAUAAAAAAGACAAGAUGCUGAGUCACCCUAAGGAUGCGAGCCAGUGGCAAGCGUUGAACUACGAAUACCCAGAAUUUGGGGACGAUCCAGGGAACAUCGUGCUGGGCGCGAGCACCGAUGGAGUCAAUCCGUUUGGCAGCCAGAAAAUCACACAUAGCACCUGGCCUGUGUUUGUGUGGAUGUACAACCUUCCCCCUGGUUGUGCACGAAGAGGAAGUACAUUCACAUGAGUAUGCUAAUUGAAGGGCCUAAACAACCAGGGAACGACAUCAAUCUAUAUCUGGGGCUGUUGAAAGAGGAGCUAGACACGCUGUGGAAAACGCGAGCCAAUACGUGGGACGCCGCAGAGAAAGAAUAUUUCCCUAUGAGAGCCGCACUGCUCCCGACGGUGCACGACUAUCUCGGUUAUGGAUAUGUCGCGGGGCAGGUGGUCCACGGGUUUUCUGGAUGCGUCAGGUGCAUGGAUGACACAAUGUAUCGCCAGCUAGAUAGAGAUCCCGGGUCUUCAAAAACCGUGUUCAUGGGACCUCGAAGGUGGCUUCGCAACGAUGACACAUGGAGAAAACGCAAGGAUCUGUUCGAUGGUGAAACCGAACCCCGAAGACGCCCCCUUAUGAGGAGCGGCGAGGAAAUAUACGAGCUGUUGAAAAAUUGGAAAAAGUGCCCACCGCCGGGAAAGGCGCUAGAGCCGGGAAAGAAGCGAAAGGCGCUAGAGCCGCUCCUGAAGGUAUGGAAAACGAGGUCUGUUUUCUGGGACUUGCCGUACUGGAAGAUCCUCCGUGUGCCUCACAGCCUUGAUGUCAUGCAUAUCAUGAAGAACGUGUGCAAGAGUCUGCUUGGUACCCUGCUCAACAUGCCAGAGAGGACCAAAGAUGGACCGAAAGCAAGGGCAGACUUGAAAUCAAUGGGCAUCAGGGAGGAGCUUCAUGCUAAUAAUGAUGAUGAUGAUGAUGAUGAGGCGAAGCAGGACACGGAAAGUCGUCGCAAAGGCAAAAAGUACAAGAAGACCGGAAAUGACUUUCCUCCCGCGUGCUUCACUCUAAGUCAGGAGGAGAUCGAUCAGUUUUUCACCUGCCUCAUAGGAGUAAAACUUCCUUACGGUUACGCGGGGAAGAUAAGCAGAUACCUAGACUCAGCGAAGCAGAAGUUUAGCGGGAUGAAGUAUCACAACUGUCACGUGCUGAUGACGCAGAUACUUCCAGUUGCAAUCCGUGGGAUCAUGGACGCGCACGUCCGUGAAAUGCUUUUUGACCUAUGCAACUUUUUCGACGUCAUCUCUCGGAAGUCGGUUGGCGUGAGGCAACUCAGAAGGCUACAGGAAGAGAUCGUGGUGAUACUAUGCGAGCUUGAGAUGUACUUCCCGCCCGCAUUCUUCGACGUUAUGGUGCAUCUGCUGGUCCAUAUCGUGGAGGAUAUCAUCCAACUCGGGCCGACGUUCCUGCACAUCAUGAUGCCGUUCGAAAGGAUGAAUGGUGUCAUCAAAGGAUACGUCCGCAACAUGUCACGUCCAGAGGGAAGCAUAGCCAGGGGCUUUCUGACCGAAGAGUGCAUCUCCUACUGCACGAAUUAUCUAGGCAUCGAGAACCUCGUUGGUCUGCCCGUCAACAGGCACCUCGGCAGGCUCGCAGGAUGGGGUCACCGUGAGGGUCGCCGCGAAAUGCAUGUCGACUUCGAGGGUCGACUCGCCGACUUUGAAAGAGCAAACCUAGUCGCGCUACAACACAUAGACGUGGUCGAUCCUUGGGUCGUAGAGCACAAAACCUUUAUUGAAAAGACGUACAAUGACCGAGGCCAACAGAGGACGGACGGAGAUAUAAUCAAAGAGCACAACUCAUGUUUAACGCGUUGGUUCAAGCAGAAGCUUUUGUCGUAGCCUUUACAUGAGGAUUCUUCCGCGGAAGAACAACUCAUAUUCGCCUUGUCACAGGGCGCCGAGCACAACCUGAUGAUGUAUGAGGCGUACGAUACCAACAGCUACACAUUCUACACCGAGGGAAAGGACAUGAAGAGCGAUGGUUAUCAGAACUCCGGGGUAACGAUGGAAUCCUACACCGGUAACGACAAGGACAGAUACUACGGAAGGAUCGAGGAGAUCUGGGAGCUGAGCUGCGCUGGAGAGAAGGUCCCGAUGUUCCGUGUCAGAUGGGCCAAGAGCGUCAUAAAAGAAGACCGGUAUUUCACCACCAUGGUUAUACCCGAAGCCAAAUCCAAGACCGCGGGCGCAAAAGUCACCGCGAAAAAUGAGCCAUGGGUACUGGCUUCCCAAGUGGACCAAUGCUUCUUCAUUACCGACCCGCCAAAGCCCAGUCGUGUUGUCGUGAGGAGAGGCAAAAGGAAGAUCAUCGGAAUGGAUGGAGUCGCCAAUGAGCAAGACUUCGACAAGUACGGCGACCCGAAGAUGGAACAUGACGACGAUGAUGAAGUACCAGCAUACACCACAAGAAGAAGCAGGACCACCCUACCUAAAGGACGUCCGUUCAAGAGAAGAACUCCAUUUACGAAAAAUAAGGGCAAGAAGAUUGUGAACAAAUAGCUAGCUAAGAUCGAUUAUAUUUAAAUUUGAUGAUAUUUUUUCAUAUUCAAUAUGAAAAAAUAUUGAAUAUUCAUGAGGACACUCGAUCUCGAUCCCCUCCAUCUCGAUCGCUAUCACCCCUCGCAAGAUCCCCCUCGCCGCCGAGCACCCCCCGCACCCUCCCCCGCUCCACCACCGUCGCCGUCGGCAUACUUACCACUAGAACACCUAUUCAGAAGAUACUAGGCACUUCUCAAAAAAAUACUAGGCACUUCUCAAACCAAGGUGCAACCAGCACAAGAAAACAAUGCAAAAAAAAUAAAAAUACUAGGCACUAGAUGUUGUUGUGAGGCACUAGAUAUUCAUAGGCAUCUAAUUGCAAACAUAAAAAAAAAUACUAGACAUCUACUUGCAAACAUAAAAAAAUUUACUAGGCACUUCUCAAACCAAGGUGCAACCAGCACAAGAAAACAAUGCAUAGAAAAAAAGGAAAAAAGAGAGGGGGGAAGAGGAUUCGAACCCGCAACCUCCUGCUAGGAGGCAAAACCCACGGACCACUGUGCUGCUACUUCGGAGGUUAACAACAUAGAGAAGGCGCACCUCAUAUACAUGCGCCAUUACUACAUAAAAAAACAUUCUAAUGGCGCACCGCUCGGGGUGCGCCAUUCCUAAGCCGGGCCGCGCCCUCCUCUCUUCUCCCGCGGCCUCCCCCUACCCCUUUCCACCAAACAGCAGCUCCCCCACCUUCGUCCACGCAGCCCACGGAGCUCUGGCGGCGCUAGGGUUUUCUCCGCCUCUGCCUCCGCCUCAGAUAGCCGAGGUGCGAAAUAUUAUCAGCCCCAACACACUCAAGAAGGUGGUCUCUGAGCAGAUGAACUGGAUCCCAUUACAUCAGCAGAAGAAGGGAUGAAAAAGAAAGACUAACAAGGGUGCGAGCCAGCCGGCACUGAGUACGAUCCGUGCUCUGGACGGGCCACCUUCACCUAAGGAUAUCUCGAGGAGGGUGCAUGUGGCGGGUAGGCCGAUGCUACCGACUAAUCUACUCAAUGCUGCAACUGGUGCUAUGCGGAGUCUGCAUGACAGUGUUCUUUGUUUGGAGAAGCGGCGUCUCUCCGAGAAUAAUGUGGCAUACCCGGUUUUCGUGGCCAAGGUGCCAGAGGGCAAGGGCUUUGUCGAUAGGCCAUCGGGGGUAUGAUCGUCCUGCGGUUUGUUGACAUCUUCGCUAUGUUUAACCUUCAUCCGCUGCACUACACCUUCGUUCGGCUAUUUUCGCUGAGUAUGGAGAUGCGGAUCAUUAGAGACAAGACCCCGAACCUAGUGAUAGUCGACCCCUUCUAUAUGCGUGCCAAGAUCUUGGGCAGCGCUGGGGACCGGCAAGUCACGAGUUCAUACCUCGAAGGCGUCAUUCUGGCAAACUCAGAAAAGGAUAACUUCCUCGUGCCUUACUUUCCCUGGUAAGUUAUCCCCUCAUCGCCACGUAACAUAUGAUUUCUUAGAUUUUGAUCGUCCUUUUUUUCUAACAUUCCGUGUUUUGUGCAGUGACACACGUUGCACACUCAUCCUCUUAAGUCUGAAAUAUUCCACGGCCACGUAUUUCGACUCGGACCGUCAGUCAAAAAAAGACUACACAAAUAUCAAGAAAGUUCUUGAUGAAGCUCUUCCCGGCUAUGCCAUAUCUGGAGGCACCUUCAGCAGGACAAGUCUCAGGCACGGCAAGCACGUGUUCACCCACAAUACGACGUUCGCCUGCGUCAAGCAGCCGCCUGGCAGUCAGAAGGAUGCCUACUACGCCCUCCAUCACAUGCGGGCGAUCAUACGGGAUAGUAAUCACCUUCGGCUACCAAAUAAUCUCAAAUAUUGGGCCGCACACUUGUCGGCAAUCCAGGAUGCGGACAUCAGACAAGAAUUCUUUCGCAUCCAGUCGGAGUUUGCAGAAAUCAUCCAUCAAGAUGUCCUUCGUACCUCGGGGCAGUUCUACCUCAGAUCUCCGCUGUCCUAUACUGAGAUAGAUACAAUGCUACAAAUGCAGGCUGACAACGACCGCAAUUUCAUGACCAUCACGAAAGAUGGCGGCUUCAUCCACGUUCCCGUGAAUCGCUACUAAUUCAUGUUGCAAUAUUAAACUUUAAUGAACUGGUAUGUCUCUUUGGUUUGGACAGUCGUUCAACUUAUAUAUAAUCGAUGCUAUUUAUUAGUAGGACCAUGAAUCGUGCUGUUAUAGUUGUAAUAUUAAACUUUAAUGAACUUGUAUGUCUCUGUGAAUUGCUACUAACGUUUUGUUUGGCUAGUGCAUAGAGAUGCCGUCGUAUGUCGUGUACAAGGGUAAGGUUCCCGGAGUCUACGACGACUGGGAGGAGUGUCGGAGACAGGUUCACCGAUUCAGCGGUAACAGUUACAAUGGGUACACCACAAGGGCGGAGGCGGAAGUUAGAUACGCGCGCUAUCUACGGGAGAGAGGAGGGAGCGUUGGAGGAACCGGAUGAAGACCAGUUUCAUUGCGAUUAUGCUCAUCGUGAUGACCGCAUCUCUCUUCUAUAUGUGAUGGUAGUUUAGAUGGUCGAUAUAUCAACUUGUAAUGUGAAGACAAAUUCGCUGCUCGCGGUCUCGAGACUUGUAGUAUUCUAACUUUUUUCGGUAUUUUAAAUUCGGAGACUAAUAUGAUGAAUUGUAUUCGGAGACUAAUCUUCUAUUGUAUUCGAUAAAUCUGUUGUUUAUAUGUUGUGCUAUCCAUAUUCUGUGCAAUAAUAUAUUUUGUAAUAUGUGCAAAUAUCAGAAAAAAUAAAAUAAAUACCUAAUAUUCAUACUAGUGACGCAUCACUCAGCACACUAGUGCGCCAUUAGUAAGCGAGAGCAUAUGGGUAAAUAUGGCCCUGGGAGGCAUACUAAUGGCGCACCACAAGCUAUACUAAUGGCGCACCAGGAUAUAUACUAAUGGCGCACCAGUAUCUAUACUAAUGGCGCACCGUGAGCAAUACUAAUGGCGCACCGUGAGCAAUACUAAUGGCGCACCGUGAGCAAUACUAAUGACGCACCGUGAGCAAUACUAAUGGCGCACUACCUGGUGCGUCAUUAGUAUACCAGAUACUAAUGGCGCACUUGUAAUGCGCCAUUAGUAAAAAAAUCUAAUGGCGUGAUGCUAGUGGCGCACCUAUAGUGCGCCAUUAGUAGCAAAAAAUGGUGCGCCAUUAGAAGGCCUUUUCCUAGUAGUGAGCUGCCCUCCAUGCUUGGGCUUCUUCCUCUUGUGCAAAAGCAAAAUCAAAGCAAUGUCUUCUUCAUCCUCCAAAUCGUAUUCCCCAUCGGAUGAAUCCUCAAUCAAAACCAUCUACAAACAAACUAGACCGUAUUAAAAAGUGUAAUCCUAAACUACAAACACAAAAAGCAAACAAAAAGUUGAAUACACAUUACCUCGAACACCUUGCGGGCGGCCGAACCGGUGGGUGGCAGCUGCGUCGCCGGAGCAAGCCUCUCCUAGUUGCUGCUGCCGUCGCUGGGUGUUGCAGGCGGCCAAGGGGAAGCAUAAGAGCGUCGUCGGGGUCGCGGCGGCGGCAUAAUCGGCGUCGGUGCCCCGGAUUCGUACAGCGGCGGCGGCGGCGGCAGAUCAACAAUUUAGGGCACUAAACCUCUUGCCUACUUGGGCAGCGGUAUUCCGACGACGAUGGGCAGCGGUAUUCCGGCAGGGGCGAGGUGCGGGAGGGACCGGCGGUGGACGGGCAGCGGAUUUUGGGCAGGGGCGCGGCCUACGGGCGGCGGAUUUGCGGCGGCGGCGGCGGAUUUGCACCGGCGGGGUCGAGGGCGGGAGAGGCUGGGAAAUUUUCGGGUGGCAGUUCGGCUGCGCGCGCGCGUCGUUGGGAAAAUAGGGCAGCCACACAAGUGUUGUAUAUUUGCAACAGUUGGACCAAAUUUAGGGCAGUGUUGUAAAAAAUAUAGGGCAGUUGAUGAAGAUAGGGCAGCUGUUGGAGCACGUUUUUGCCUCUUUUCUGCCCUAUAUGACAGUUUUUAUGCCCCACUGCCCUAUAUAGGGCAGCUGUUAGAGAUGCUCUAACACUCACAUAUGACGGUCACUAAACCUCUUGCCCACUUAGGUUGGCUCCCUGCUCAGCUUGCUCGUUUAGCUUUUUUUUCAGCUCGCUCGACUACUAGCUUAGAAAAAAAUACUGUCCUUUUUCUUAUUUAAAAAUGUUCUCUCUUCUGCUUCUUUCCCACGCCCCCUUGCAACCCUGUUCUUUCUUCUUCUUCUUCCCCAAGAAGAAAACAACGACCCUGUCAUGGAGAAAUCCUCAUUGAGACCGGCGGUGAGAGUGCUAAGCAUGAGCUCGUCGGAGAUUUUGGUGUCGAUGUCGCGAAGCUCAUCGGCGAGCAUCUUGAGCCGCAUGCAAUAGUCAACGAUGGUGGAGUCAUCCUGGUGGCACCUGAAGAGCUCUUGUUGCAAGAAAACAAGACACUGAAGCUUGUUAUCGGUGAAGAGCGCAUUGAUCUUGGUCCACACGGUGCAAGUAUCGUCGUCAUCGGUGACGACCGUGUGGAAGAUGUCCUUCAAGAUGGUUUGGUAGAACCACCGAAUGAGAGUGACCUCGAUGGCGGACCACUCCGGGACGCCCUUCAUGUACUCAGCGUCGACGAAGCCAUCUAUGUGUUCGGUGAGGUAGUACUCGCGGAAGACAAGGUUGAAGUAGGUCUUCCACGCGUAGUACGAGGAGGUGGAGGAGUCGAGGCGGAUGGGAACACGGGCAUCGAUGUUGAUGUCGCGGAUGGCUUCGACGAAGGGUGCAGGGCCGGCGAAGGGGUUGGUGCUGGAGGUGGCCGGCGAAUUCAUGGGGCCGGCUGCGGGGGAGAGAUGGCGAGCGGCGGCGGCGGCUCGGGUGGGAGAGGGGUAGCGGAAGCGAUGAGGCGUGCGGCAGCGGCGGCGGCUGCGAUAGGGUUUAGGUUAGGAACUUUUAGGAUGAUACCAUGUAGAGAGAGAUAUGUUUGGCAAUGCAACUCAUAAUAUUGAUUGAAUAUGCACAGAUAUACAGAAUACAAUAUGAACCUCUAUCUCAACUAUACAAAGGCUAGGAGAUAGACCAAACUAUGUACAUAUACACAUGCCCGACCCUAGGGGGGGGGGGGAGGNNNNNNNNNNNNNNNNNNNNNNNNNNNNNNNNNNNNNNNNNNNNNNNNNNNNNNNNNNNNNNNNNNNNNNNNNNNNNNNNNNNNNNNNNNNNNNNNNNNNNNNNNNNNNNNNNNNNNNNNNNNNNNNNNNNNNNNNNNNNNNNNNNNNNNNNNNNNNNNNNNNNNNNNNNNNNNNNNNNNNNNNNNNNNNNNNNNNNNNNNNNNNNNNNNNNNNNNNNNNNNNNNNNNNNNNNNNNNNNNNNNNNNNNNNNNNNNNNNNNNNNNNNNNNNNNNNNNNNGGGGGGGGGGGGAGGGGCGGCCGCCACGGGCCCCCGGAACCAGAGGGGCCCCCAACUCAGGUACGUGUGAGCGCCCCACCCCCAAUCUAUCGGAGACGCCACCAGAGCAGUUACAAAGUAGCUGCGGUAUGGCUCCGGGAAGAAGAAAGUCGAAACGGUAUUUCUUUUAGCUAAAUGGGCUUUGGGCCUUUGUUUCCUUUAGCUAAAUCGUGGUGUUAAGUGGUUGUGGGCUUCCUCUAAAAGAAGUAGUGGUGGGUUAUGUGUAAGAAAAAAUGAUGACGGGCCACACCAAGCUAGAGGAGGGAGAGGAGCACAUCGGUACAAAACUUAUAAAAGAAAGAAAAAAGAAGAUUGGUGAAUUCACAUGCCCACGUCUUGCCUGGUAUUACAACCCUGGCAAACUAAUAAGUUUUUCUUUUUUAUUGUAAAAUAAAUCUAUUUUUUUGCAAGUGUAGCAAACUAAUACUCUAUCUUGAUAAGAAAAAUAAACAUAUCAAAUUCAGUAUAUGUGCGGAGUCCCUAAAGAAAUGUAUCGUAGCGGAGAGACAAUAGCAACACGCACGGUGACGACGGACUGAUGACAUGAGCGUGCACUAUGGUCAUACUAUGAUAGCCAAAUAUGGAUGACUCAGUUGGUACUCUCGUCUUCAUAACUUUAUAUCAAUAAACACAAAUUGAAUUGAUUGUUCUACUUUGGUGUUAUGAAUUGAGAGUUGAUUGUUCUACUUUGGUGUUAUGAAUUGAGAGUUGAUUUUCUACUUUGGUGUGAAUAUUCAUAUGUGUCAUUUUAAUUGUUAUUUUUCUUCUUUAUAUUUUUGUAUAUAUGAACUUUUUUUUUCAUCUAUUAAGUUUUUUCAUUCAUAAAUUUAUUGUUUGCUCGGUCAUCAUGCUUGCGCGUAACUUGCCUGCAAAUGGGUAAAUGCAAUUUAGAUGAUCUUCUGUAUUCUGCUGCCUCAUUGUGACGACAAACUCUUGAUAUCAUGUGUGUCCCGGUCAGAAAUGACCCAUCACCGCCCUCAACGAGUCCUACCAAGAUGCGGUAUUGUGCACAUUAGCCCCCGCAUCGUCGUGAUCUUAUAGAACACAUGUGUCUGAUUCUCUUUCCAUAGAUAUCAUCGUUAAAGACCUUGUGUGCAAUCUUUUUGUGUGUGUGUGGUGGGGGGCUACCGGCCUUGCAUAUACAUGCAAACUACUUACUCCGUUUUUAAAUAUAAGUCUUUAAAGAGGUUUCAUGAAUGAACUACAUAUGGAUGUAUAUAGACAUAUUUUAGAGUGUAGAUUCACUUAUUUUGCUUCUAUAUGUAAACUCCUAAUGAAAUAUCUUAAAAGACUUAUAUUUAGGAACGGAGGGAGUAUAUGUUUAACAAGAUCAUUGGGCGCGGACCGCGGAGGUAGCGUAUUUCCACGAGCCAGCCGGUGACGACGAUGUAGAAGCUUCUUUCAGGGCCCCCCGUCCAUGCGCUGUGCAAGUACAAGUCUGACCGACGUGAGGCGCUGUACCAAACGAAGCGUAGCAAGUACAGCCAGAAUCAUCUGAAGCUUAGCAGCCAGCGGCCGCCGGCCGUUACCUGCAGCAUGCAUGUGACUGCACACUACGCCAAGAAGUCCGCGGCUAUAGACAACGCUCUGAAAAUAACUCUUUUGCACAGACGCGUGGAAUUCCGUGGUGGCCCGUCGGAUUUUCCCCCCGCAAAUAAAGAUCGCGCGCGCAACGUGGAACAGCUGGAUAGGGUAGCACGAGCCACGAACGGUGCAUCGUCAGCGCAUUUCCCUGCGCUGCACCCGAGCUGAGCAGCUAUAAAUUGAGCUGCAAGCCCAGCAGCUUCAUCACACAGGCGUCUUGCAUAGCUCUCCUUGCGCUAUACUACAUUUCACGAGCCGACUAGCUGAAGGUGAGUUAGCAUGGCGAGGCCUGCUGCCCUCGCGGUGUGCGCCGCCGCGCUCCUGCUCGCCGUGGCGGUGGGCGGCGCCGCGGCGCAGGGCGUGGGCUCGGUCAUCACGCGGUCGGUGUACGCGAGCAUGCUGCCCAACCGCGACAACUCGCUGUGCCCGGCCAGGGGGUUCUACACGUACGACGCCUUCAUCGCCGCAGCCAACACCUUUCCGGGCUUCGGCACCACCGGCAGCGCCGAUGACAUCAAGCGCGAGCUCGCCGCCUUCUUCGGCCAGACCUCCCACGAGACCACCGGUACGUCAGUCAGAGAGUGUUAAUUACUUGUUUUCGAUUGUUGCUUUCAACAGAAUUCGUGGAACUUUUGAUUCGGAUAUGAAGGGCUUGAUUGAAUCGUGUACGUGCUUGUGCAUGCCGUGUCGACGUGUAGGAGGGACGAGAGGCGCCGCCGACCAGUUCCAAUGGGGCUACUGCUUCAAGGAAGAGAUAAGCAAGGCCACGUCUCCACCCUACUAUGGACGGGGACCCAUCCAAUUGACAGGGUAAGCAAAAUCCCAUGUUAUGGCCUAUAUGGCUACAUGACAAUCUCUAAAGCAUCUUCCACAUGAAAAACAAGUAUAUUGGUCAACACUGAUAUCACAGACUGAAAUAAUCGGUAGAAAAAAUCUACUUGAAAAGUACAGCAGUGUAGUUGACAUUCUAGCUAGCCGCGCUAAUCCCGACCUGAUCCAAAUAAGCUUUCGCUUUCGCGUGCAAUAUACAGUUAUUAAUAACAAUAUAAAUACUACCAGGCUUCGGCGAUGAGAUUGUUCUGAUGAACCUAUAACUCUUCCUCGUGUGAUUGACCAGGCGGUCCAACUACGAUCUCGCCGGGAGAGCGAUCGGGAAGGACCUUGUGAGCAACCCGGAUCUGGUGUCCACGGACGCGGUGGUGUCCUUCAGGACGGCGAUGUGGUUCUGGAUGACGGCGCAGGGCAAC